CGGCACCUCAAGUGGUCAGGAUGAUUAUUGGGCCUAAAGCAUCCGUAGCCGGCUCUGUAAGGUUUCGGUUAAAUCUGUACGCUCAACGUACAGGCUGCCGGGAAUACUGCAGAGCUAGGGAGUGGGAGAGGUAGACGGUACUCGGUAGGAAGGAGUAAAAUCCUUUGAUCUAUUGAUGACCACCUGUGGCGAAGGCGGUCUACCAGAACACGUCCGACGGUGAGGGAUGAAAGCUGGGGGAGCAAACCGGAUUAGAUACCCGAGUAGUCC
rnacentral:rRNA from 1 species